UAGUUUGAUCCUGGCUCAGAACGAACGCUGGCGGCGUGGAUUAGGCAUGCAAGUCGAGCGAGAACCGUUGAGGGGUAACCUAAGAUGGGGAAAGCGGCGAAAGGGUGAGUAAUGAAUAGUCAACCUACCUUCUUGUUUGGGAUAACACUGGGAAACUAGUGCUAAUACCGAAUAGUCUCAUAAGAUUGCAUGAUUUUAUGAGUAAAGAUGGCCUCUCGGAGAAGCUUUUGCAAGAAGAGGGGACUAUUUCCUAUUAGCUUGUUGGUGGGGUAAUGGCUCACCAAGGCGAUGAUGGGUAGCCGGCCUUAGCGGGUGUCCGGCCACACUGGGACUGAGAUACUGCCCAGACUCCUACGGGAGGCUGCAGUCGAGAAUCUUCCGCAAUGGACGAAAGUCUGACGGAGCGACGCCGCGUGUGGGAUUGAAGGCCCUUGGGUUGUAAACCACUGUCACUAGUUAAGAAAUACUUGAUUGUUAAUAGCGAUCGGGUUUGACAAAAGCUAGAGAGGAAGCCACGGCUAACUUCGUGCCAGCAGCCGCGGUAAGACGAAGGUGGCAAGCGUUGUUCGGAAUCACUGGGCAUAAAGCGCACGUAGGCGGUCUGCUAAGUUGGAUGUGAAAGCCCUCGGCCCAACCGAGGAAUAGCGCCCAAUACUGGUAGACUUGAGGGUUGGAGAGGUGUAUGGAAUUCCUGGUGGAGCGGUGAAAUGCGUUGAUAUCAGGAGGAACACCGGAGGCGAAGGCGAUACAC
rnacentral:rRNA from 1 species